CCUACGGGUGGCAGCAGUCGAGAAUCAUUCACAAUGGGGGAAACCCUGAUGGUGCGACGCCACGUGGGGGAAUGAAGGUCUUCGGAUUGUAAACCCCUGUCAUGUGGGAGCAAAUUAAAAAGAUAGUACCACCCGAGGAAGAGCCGGCUAACUCUGUGCCAGCAGCCGCGGUAAUACAGAGGGCUCAAGCGUUGUUCGGCAUCACUGGGCGUAAAGCGUGCGUAGGCUGUUUCGUAAGUCGUGUGUGAAAGGCGCGGGCUCAACCCGAGGACGGAACAUGAUACGGCGCGACUAGAGUAAGGGAGGGGGAACCGGAAUUCGCGGUGUAGCAGUGAAAUGAGUAGAUAUCGAGAGGAACACUCGUGGCGAAGGCGGGUUCCUGGACAGUAACUGACGCUGAGGCACGAAGGCCAGGGGAGCGAAAGGGAUUAGAUACCCUGGUAGUC
rnacentral:rRNA from 1 species